UCUAAAAGCAGGUAAGCCACUGACUAACGCACAUUGUGCCAUUUGCCAGUUCCACUGUGCGUGUGACAGCGGCUAACCUGGUUUUGGGAAUACCGCUC
rnacentral:pre_miRNA from 1 species